GCCGUGCCGGAGCCAAAAAAUAAAGAAAAAGAAGAAACUUAACGUGGGCUUUUUGGCGGGAAUGUGAGAAACAUAGUUAUAUUAUAUGAACUGUUUUAUUUUGUUCAUUUAGUAUUUACUACUUCAAUCUUAAACGUGUACUAAUGGUGGUUUAAACGUGUGCUAUUUUAUAUUAUUUUAUUUCAUCUCGUAUCAUUACGUUUUAUCCGAAUUGAUUACAAUUUUAGAUAAAUCAACUUCACCUCAUUCCAAAACCUAUCACGUUUCAUUUAACAGUGAGUCGCUGGAUGAGGUCAAUUUGCUCGAACGUCAGCUGCACGGCGUCGCGGUGUUGCGCAUCGCAAGGCACGUACGCCGCCCAGAACUGACACACAAUGUACAUCUGACGUGAACUUAGAUUAAAAACACGCACGACUACCCACUUUUAUUGAACUUCUUGUAUCAGAAUUUCCCGUGGAGCUUGCGUAACCCGUAAAUAAAGUCAACAGAAAACACUUUUAAGAUUUAA